rnacentral:lncRNA from 1 species
UCUUUAAUAAAGUCUGUCUCAAACCUACCAGUUUACCACUGUCUUCAGCUGGAGCAUCACUCAACACCAUCAUAACACCAUCAUAACACCACUGGUUCUGCAGUUAUGGCUGGACUGAAAACUCUGCUCCUCAUCUUCCUGUUUUCUGUCAGAGCUGAAGCUCUUGAUCAAAACGUUUUGGCAGAAAUAAUGCGGUUUACUAUGAACCAAAUCAACCAAAGUGGUGAAUAUUCCCUCCUCAUCACCACGACUCAGGACGCCUGUAGUAAUUUAAACACGUUUACACAGCAGCUUCAAGGACAACUGAAUACGAUCAGAGGUUUCUUUCAGAACAACCGCGGUCUCACAGAAACAAACAAUAUCAUUGCAGCUCGACCACAUAAUUAUGUACAUGCUGAACAGUUGGUUCUUAAUGAUGUUGGGGAAAUUACACAAAGAAUUGUCGAAACAACCUGUGUUCUGUUUUUCACCACCUAUUCCCCCUGUUUAGAUCAGUGUGUGAAAUUCAUUAAAAAUACUAUCCAAAAUAAUCAUCUUUUUAUAAACGUAAACAGAAACUGGAUGGCGUUUGUGUUUAAAUCAGUUUAUAACCGUGAUGAGGAAAGGAUCAAAGAGGUAAAAAAGGCUCUUAACUCAAUUGGAAACGUGAUGCCUGUUUUCAGAUGCACUUCAUGGGUAGAUCAAGGUACACUAAUUAAUGUCUGUUAUAACUGUGCAAAUCAAAUUAAUGACUGUGUCUGGGUGUGAAAAAGCUCCUGAACACUGAUCCCAUUUAUUGACUGUGGUGACAAACGUAAAAUUGGUGGCCCUGGUUUAUUGAGAAAAGCAUAUUAUUCUGAAAUGUAUCCUUUAAUAAUUCUGUGUUUCUGUAAGUGCAAUAUUAAAGUGCUUCUGUAAAACUUGUUUUAAGCACAGGAAGUCUGGCCGACAGAUUGUUUCCUGUUAUUUACAGGUUCAGCAAACUUCUUCUGUGUUCUUUCUUGUGCAUGUGCAUCUAAUCUAAAAGUUGAUGUAUUUUUCUAAUCAAAGCUUUGGGUUUCUUUUUGAUCAGGCACAAAUGUUUAGCUAAUCAUUUGGUUAAUCAUUAUGAUCAUGUAACAUAUAUGAUUAUUUCAUAUUGUUUGGAACAACUGUGUGUCCUUUUUUGCUGAAGGGGGGAACUUGGGUUUGGUUCCGUUUUUCGCCAUCCAAGCAGCAGAACACACAC